rnacentral:rRNA from 2 species
AGUUCUGAUUAUUGAAAGGUGCUUGCAUCUUGAUUUAAUUUUGAACGAGUGGCGGACGGGUGAGUAACACGUGGGUAACCUGCCCUUAAGUGGGGGAUAACAUUUGGAAACAGAUGCUAAUACCGCAUAAAUCCAAGAACCGCAUGGUUCUUGGCUGAAAGAUGGCGUAAGCUAUCGCUUUUGGAUGGACCCGCGGCGUAUUAGCUAGUUGGUGAGGUAACGGCUCACCAAGGCAAUGAUACGUAGCCGAACUGAGAGGUUGAUCGGCCACAUUGGGACUGAGACACGGCCCAAACUCCUACGGGAGGCAGCAGUAGGUCUUCCACAAUGGACGCAAGUCUGAUGGAGCAACGCCGCGUGAGUGAAGAAGGCUUUCGGGUCGUAAAACUCUGUUGUUGGAGAAGAAUGGUCGGCAGAGUAACUGUUGUCGGCGUGACGGUAUCCAACCAGAAAGCCACGGCUAACUACGUGCCAGCAGCCGCGGUAAUACGUAGGUGGCAAGCGUUAUCCGGAUUUAUUGGGCGUAAAGCGAGCGCAGGCGGUUUUUUAAGUCUGAUGUGAAAGCCCUCGGCUUAACCGAGGAAGUGCAUCGGAAACUGGGAAACUUGAGUGCAGAAGAGGACAGUGGAACUCCAUGUGUAGCGGUGAAAUGCGUAGAUAUAUGGAAGAACACCAGUGGCGAAGGCGGCUGU